CUAAAGUGUGCCGGUUCAGGUGUCCCGCGGGCGUCAUGCCCAAGGGAUGAAACGGGAAGCCGGUGCGUGGUGUUCGACAACACUGCAAGGCCGGCGCUGCCCCCGCAACGGUAAGCGAGAUUCACGAACGGCGGAUGCCACUGUGCUUGAGCACGGGAAGGCGCCGUUCGGGACAUGCGGAUCACCGCACGUCACUCGCGAGCCCGGAGACCGGCCGGAACGAUUCCUGGUGGC
rnacentral:ncRNA from 18 species